UACAGAGGUCCCGAGCGUUGUUCGGAUUCAUUGGGCGUAAAGGGUGCGUAGGCGGUCUUCUAAGUUUGAUGUGAAAUCCCGGGGCUCAACCCUGGAAUUGCAUUGAAUACUGGAGGACUAGAGUCCCGGAGAGGAAACUGGAAUUUACGGUGUAGCAGUGAAAUGCGUAGAGAUCGUAAGGAAGACCAGUGGCGAAGGCGAGCUUCUGGACGGGUACUGACGCUGAGGCACGAAGGCCAGGGGAGCAAACGGG
rnacentral:rRNA from 1 species